CGUUAAAAUGUCAUGUAGAACAAAAAAAAUAAAAUAAAAAAAUCGUAUGUUUUACAAUUUUUUUCAUAUUAAAUUAUGUUUCAUAGCUAAAUAUUUGAUAUUAAAUGAAAGCCCUGUUUCCCCUGAAUAAAAUGAUAUAUAAUAAGGGUGGGUGCAUUUACUAUGAAAGAGGUGAAUUACGGUUGGACAGACAUGUAGCGCAAAUGCCAGGUUUUGUUUACAUUUUGUUUUGUUCACAACGUGUACAUUUGGCUCCGUCCUUAAGGGGUUAAAUAGGGCUAAUCCCUCAAGUCCAUUGGUGGAUUCAGUGGGUGUGUGGAUCCUUUUCUUUUUCGAUUGAAGGAAGAAACCACCUCCAUCAGCUGUUUCUCACUCUUCCAAUUUGAAAUUAGCGCCCUUUGCGGAAUGAAACGGAAAUCGUCAUCAUCGCUGAAACCGGAAGUGACAUCGCGGAUACAUCCGCGUUCCAAUAUGCGUUCCAGCGGUAUUAUCUCCAUAGCAAACGGACGUGAUUGUCUCGGCCACAAUUCAUGUAAUAGAAAGAGAAUUAAUUACAGCCCCCAAAAUUCUGCUAAAGAGAAAGGUGUUAGUCAUAUGAUUUGAAGCACUCAUUUAUUCUAUGCACUAAAUAUUAGCAGCACUUAUUAAUCCAAU